rnacentral:rRNA from 1 species
GUCCACGCUGUAAACGAUGAAUACUAGGUGUUGGGUCUUACGACUCAGUGCCGCAGCUAACGCAUUAAGUAUUCCACCUGGGAAGUACGAUCGCAAGGUUGAACUCAAAGGAAUUGACGGGGCCCGCACAAGCAGUGGAGCAUGUGGUUAAUUCGAUGCAACGCGAAGAACCUUACCUAGGCUUGAAAGGCAAGUGACAGGGUAUGAAAGUACCCCUCCAGCAAUGGCACUUGUACAGGUGCUGCAUGGCUGUCGU